AAUGAACGCUGGCGGCAUGCCUAACACAUGCAAGUCGAACGAAGGCUUCGGCCUUAGUGGCGCACGGGUGCGUAACGCGUGGGAAUCUGCCCCUUGGUUCGGAAUAACAGUUGGAAACGACUGCUAAUACCGGAUGACGACGUAAGUCCAAAGAUUUAUCGCCGAGGGAUGAGCCCGCGUAGGAUUAGGAAGUUGGUGUGGUAAAGGCGCACCAAGCCGACGAUCCUUAGCUGGUCUGAGAGGAUGAUCAGCCACACUGGGACUGAGACACGGCCCAGACUCCUACGGGAGGCAGCAGUGGGGAAUAUUGGACAAUGGGCGAAAGCCUGAUCCAGCAAUGCCGCGUGAGUGAUGAAGGCCUUAGGGUUGUAAAGCUCUUUUACCCGGGAUGAUAAUGACAGUACCGGGAGAAUAAGCUCCGGCUAACUCCGUG
rnacentral:rRNA from 1 species